rnacentral:rRNA from 1 species
AGCGUACACGGUGGAUGCCCUGGCAGUCAGAGGCGAUGAAGGGCGUGCUAAUCUGCGAUAAGCGCCGGUAAGGUGAUAUGAACCGUUAUAACCGGCGAUACCCGAAUGGGGAAACCCAGUGUGACUCGUCACACUAUCAUUAACUGAAUCCAUAGGUUAAUGAGGCGAACCGGGGGAACUGAAACAUCUAAGUACCCCGAGGAAAAGAAAUCAACCGAGAUUCCCCCAGUAGCGGCGAGCGAACGGGGAGGAGCCCAGAGCCUGAAUCAGCAUGUGUGUUAGUGGAAGCGUCUGGAAAGGCGCGCGAUACAGGGUGACAGCCCCGUACACAAAAGCGCAUGUGCUGUGAGCUCGAUGAGUAGGGCGGGACACGUGGUAUCCUGUCUGAAUAUGGGGGGACCAUCCUCCAAGGCUAAAUACUCCUGACUGACCGAUAGUGAACCAGUACCGUGAGGGAAAGGCGAAAAGAACCCCGGCGAGGGGAGUGAAAAAGAACCUGAAACCGUGUACGUACAAGCAGUGGGAGCACCCUUUGGGGUGUGACUGCGUACCUUUUGUAUAAUGGGUCAGCGACUUAUAUUCUGUAGCAAGGUUAACCGUAUAGGGGAGCCGGAGGGAAACCGAGUCUUAAUUGGGCGUUAAGUUGCAGGGUAUAGACCCGAAACCCGGUGAUCUAGCCAUGGGCAGGUUGAAGGUUGGGUAACACUAACUGGAGGACCGAACCGACUAAUGUUGAAAAAUUAGCGGAUGACCUGUGGCUGGGGGUGAAAGGCCAAUCAAACCGGGAGAUAGCUGGUUCUCCCCGAAAGCUAUUUAGGUAGCGCCUCGUGAAUUCAUCUCCGGGGGUAGAGCACUGUUUCGGCUAGGGGGCCAUCCCGGCUUACCAACCCGAUGCAAACUGCGAAUACCGGAGAAUGUUAUCACGGGAGACACACGGCGGGUGCUAACGUCCGUCGUGAAGAGGGAAACAACCCAGACCGCCAGCUAAGGUCCCAAAGUCAUGGUUAAGUGGGAAACGAUGUGGGAAGGCCCAGACAGCCAGGAUGUUGGCUUAGAAGCAGCCAUCAUUUAAAGAAAGCGUAAUAGCUCACUGGUCGAGUCGGCCUGCGCGGAAGAUGUAACGGGGCUAAACCAUGCACCGAAGCUGCGGCAGCGACGCUGAUGCGUUGUUGGGUAGGGGAGCGUUCUGUAAGCCUGUGAAGGUGUGUCGUGAGGCAUGCUGGAGGUAUCAGAAGUGCGAAUGCUGACAUAAGUAACGAUAAAGCGGGUGAAAAGCCCGCUCGCCGGAAGACCAAGGGUUCCUGUCCAACGUUAAUCGGGGCAGGGUGAGUCGACCCCUAAGGCGAGGCCGAAAGGCGUAGUCGAUGGGAAACGGGUUAAUAUUCCCGUACUUGGUGUUACUGCGAAGGGGGGACGGAGAAGGCUAUGUUGGCCGGGCGACGGUUGUCCCGGUUUAAGCGUGUAGGCUGGUUUUCCAGGCAAAUCCGGAAAAUCAAGGCUGAGGCGUGACGACGAGGCACUACGGUGCUGAAGCAACAAAUGCCCUGCUUCCAGGAAAAGCCUCUAAGCAUCAGGUAACAUCAAAUCGUACCCCAAACCGACACAGGUGGUCAGGUAGAGAAUACCAAGGCGCUUGAGAGAACUCGGGUGAAGGAACUAGGCAAAAUGGUGCCGUAACUUCGGGAGAAGGCACGCUGACACGUAGGUGAAGUGAUUUACUCAUGGAGCUGAAGUCAGUCGAAGAUACCAGCUGGCUGCAACUGUUUAUUAAAAACACAGCACUGUGCAAACACGAAAGUGGACGUAUACGGUGUGACGCCUGCCCGGUGCCGGAAGGUUAAUUGAUGGGGUCAGCGCAAGCGAAGCUCCUGAUCGAAGCCCCGGUAAACGGCGGCCGUAACUAUAACGGUCCUAAGGUAGCGAAAUUCCUUGUCGGGUAAGUUCCGACCUGCACGAAUGGCGUAAUGAUGGCCAGGCUGUCUCCACCCGAGACUCAGUGAAAUUGAACUCGCUGUGAAGAUGCAGUGUACCCGCGGCAAGACGGAAAGACCCCGUGAACCUUUACUAUAGCUUGACACUGAACAUUGAGCCUUGAUGUGUAGGAUAGGUGGGAGGCUUUGAAGUGUGGACGCCAGUCUGCAUGGAGCCGACCUUGAAAUACCACCCUUUAAUGUUUGAUGUUCUAACGUGGACCCGUUACCCGGGUUGCGGACAGUGUCUGGUGGGUAGUUUGACUGGGGCGGUCUCCUCCUAAAGAGUAACGGAGGAGCACGAAGGUUGGCUAAUCCUGGUCGGACAUCAGGAGGUUAGUGCAAUGGCAUAAGCCAGCUUGACUGCGAGCGUGACGGCGCGAGCAGGUGCGAAAGCAGGUCAUAGUGAUCCGGUGGUUCUGAAUGGAAGGGCCAUCGCUCAACGGAUAAAAGGUACUCCGGGGAUAACAGGCUGAUACCGCCCAAGAGUUCAUAUCGACGGCGGUGUUUGGCACCUCGAUGUCGGCUCAUCACAUCCUGGGGCUGAAGUAGGUCCCAAGGGUAUGGCUGUUCGCCAUUUAAAGUGGUACGCGAGCUGGGUUUAGAACGUCGUGAGACAGUUCGGUCCCUAUCUGCCGUGGGCGCUGGAGAACUGAGGGGGGCUGCUCCUAGUACGAGAGGACCGGAGUGGACGCAUCACUGGUGUUCGGGUUGUCAUGCCAAUGGCACUGCCCGGUAGCUAAAUGCGGAAGAGAUAAGUGCUGAAAGCAUCUAAGCACGAAACUUGCCCCGAGAUGAGUUCU